ACUGUUCUGAGGAAAAAAUGUUAACUUUGCAGAGAUUGUAUGCAAAAGGAAAAAGCUGACUGUAAACAUUAGAGAGAAAGAGCAAAUAAAUUCCUGGUUUAAGACAAAGACUCCUGACCUCUCUCUGAGCAGAGGAGCUGAUGGCAAUAACCAGUAACUGAUAAACAGCUCAGCUUAUGAAAGUAUCUGCAUGUUUUGUUUCUGACUCUGUGCUCUGUAGCUCGUGUAGGACAGGUUGGAGCUGUAGCAGGUAUUACAACCGGGUGCAGCGUGGCAGCGGGAUGGGAAGCACCGGAGAAUCAGUCGCUCUGCACAAACCCGUGCCAGCCAGCAGAGCACCUCGCCCCACUCCCUCGCCCGGGGCUUGCUCACAAAAGCACCCACAGCGGCAGGAGAGACCUCCAGGCUCCUCCAGAAGGAACACGGGCUGAGAUGGAAACGUUACUGGCUUUUAUCACUAGUGGAAACGAGGCACAUUUCAUUAAGUUCAGCAGUAUUUUUGCGCUGUGCAUAGCACUCGUGUGCUGAUUUUUUAAACACACGUGGAAUUAUGGUAAUGCAGUUGUUAUUGGCACUGAAGACAAAAUCAGGUUCUUGGAAAACUUAGAAAGGCAUGAGUCAAAUCGAACUGCAAAGUCUGCCCUGUGGAGACCAAUUCCCGCAUAGGAAGCACUGUGCGAGCACUGGAAAUCUCCUGCAAAAGACUCUGCAGAGACCGCGGGUCCCUGGAGCACGGUCUCGUGUUCGUGAGAGUUGCCUCCUCCUGCUCGCCCGUGACCCGACCGUCUCUCUGGGGCCUCUCAUCGCCCGUACCGUGAUCUGCUCGGGGACGCGGAGCGAGGAGGAGCUGGGCAGCGCACAGCAGCAGGACAGCCGGCCGUGCUGAGGGAGCCCCCUCCUCGGCACCGUGCGUCCCGCUGCCUCCCACCGCCGUGCCUGUUUCGCUUCUCACCUGUCCUUUGGCUGGAAAAGUUGCUCAGAGCCGGGAGGCCCGUGCAGCAGGGCAGUGUGUGCAGGAGAGCUGAGCCCGCUGGGCGCUGCAUGCUGCUCCUGCCCAUCGCUGCUGAGACCGGGAAGAAGAAAGGAAUGCCACCUCCCACCGGCUCGUUUCCUCCCCCCUGCUUGGUGUCUGAAGCAGCUUCACUUCUGUUUGUCUCAAUUGCUGUGUAGAACACACACUUCCACGUAUAACUUGAAGAAUGCAUGUUUGAAUAGCUUGCUGGCGUGUCCAAAUGAAUUUUCUACUGCAAACACAAUAGUACAUUUACAAAUUAACUGGAAAUUUCUGAAAAUAUUUCCCCAAAAAUAUGAACGCAGCAUAAUGUAUCUACAGGGGUACGAUGAAGGUUAUAUUUUCCCUUCCAAUAGUGAAGAUGUAAUUGGGAAUUUAGUGGCUGUAGUAUUCUACCUGCAAGAAAAACAAUUUAUUUAUUUAUUUAUUUAUUUAUUUAUUGCAUGAGUAGAAGAUGGUCAUAUAGCAUGAGAGGACAUGAGGACCAAGCAUAUUUUUAGAAUGUGUUCUGUAAGCGCAAAACCUGAAAUUCUGGGUAUUUAGAAUACAUUGAAUUUGAGAAGUACUUGUAAUCUUGGAGCCAAAAACCAUCUUACCCAAAGUUAGUGCAUUUAGUACAUCUUUUCCUAGUGGACCAGAUGUAUUCUUAUGAGUUUGAACUAAGGCAAGAUUCGGAGUUGCCCAGACGGGCUCAGAUUCCCAGAGGGGCACGCACGCUGCCUCCUCGCUGCUGAGCGCCCGCCUGGUGCGUGCGUUCCGCUGGGGUGCGGGGCUGGGGCACGGCUGGGACGGGGCUGGUGGCUCUGCGGCAGGGGUGGCAGCGUCACACGGAAAGUUGAGUCCAGCCCCUGCGCUGGAGCAAGGGAGGUUGGGGCUGGAGUGGCAGAAAAGGCGUGCGAGAUGGAGCAGCCAGCGGAGGCUUAAUUGCUGCCAAGGGCACGGGCUGAGGGGAGGCGCGGGCAGCCCCAGGUGCCCCCGAGCAGGUCACAGCAGCGCUAUUUCAGACACGCUCCUUGGCUUGUGAUGUGGAACAGUCCAGUAAUUUCUACUGUAUCAAUUAAUUGUGAGAGACAUUUUCACCUGUUUUGUUACCCUGUGGGUCAAUCCGAUCACAAAAGGAAAAAUAUGCCUGGACCACGAGACAAUUUGGAUAGACCCUGCUGUCUGUGAUUUAUUGUUUUAAUUAAAAGCUUUUUAAGCUUUAAUUAAAAAGGUACAUGAGCACUCAGUAUUCAAGAAAAAUGCUUUUGUGUUUAGGUCAAUUGAAUAACGUAAAAUAUAAUGAGAUACAUAUUUCUAGUCUGGAGCUUCACAUGAAAAAAAGCAAUAUACAUAAUUAAAAAGUAAAUUCAAACUGAUAGAAGAGAGCUGUUGUCAGACAAAAUAAAAGGUAUGCCUUAAAUUAACA
ensembl:lncRNA